rnacentral:rRNA from 1 species
AACGAACGCUGGCGGCGUGGAUUAGGCAUGCAAGUCGAACGCGAAAGAGGGAGCAAUCCCUCGAGUAGAGUGGCGAACGGGUGAGUAACGCGUGAAGAACCUGCCUUCAACAGGGGGAUAACACUCCCAACGGGGUGCUAAUACCGCAUGAGACCACGGGGUCGCAUGGCCCUGAGGUCAAAGGUGGCCUCUAUUUAUAAGCUACCGGUUGAAGAUGGCUUCGCGUCCCAUUAGCAGUUGGCGGUGUAAAAGACCACCAAGGCGACCGAUGGGUAGCUGGUCUGAGAGGAUGGUCAGCCACACUGGGACUGAGAUACGGCCCAGACUCCUACGGGAGGCAGCAGUCGAGAGGCUUUGGCAAUGGGGAAACCCUGACCAAGCGACGCCGCGUGGAGGAUGAAGGCCCUUGGGUUGUAAA